AUACGAAGAUCCCAUCGACUCGAGAAUGACGUUUGCGCUGUUUAUAGAACGCAGCAGGAGCUUUCGGCGAAUCCAGCAUGCGACUAAUACCGUAAGGCGAACGCUCAAUUGUGUAAUCAAUUGUACGUCAUUCAAGACACUCCAAACUGCUUACCUGCAGAAAUUUUUGAAGCAAUAUAACCUCACCGGUGGUCAAGUAGUACAAAAUGGAAAUGAUCGAGAAGAUAGUCAAUAAAUUAUUGAUCAUAUUGAAGGACAGUCCCAACACAGCCCAGUGGUAGCAGCCAGCUAUCCGUGCGGGUCGGAGCUCCUGGGAUCACGGAGGAGGAUAACCGCAUUGGCGUAACUAGAGGUUCCGGAAUCAACGGCAGGAAAAUCGUACGUGUAAAAUGGCAGCGGGAAUGCAUUUGCAUUUACAUUCGGGAUAUUAAGUUGCGGCUCACGCUAUUUUUACUGGCGAUCAUAGCGAGGACCAUCAGUAUGCGAUGCGCCUGGGGCUUCAUAGUUUUAUGGAUAACGUCCCGGUAGGGACCGGGGAAACUUUCCACUUGGAAAAAAGACUGGAGGGAAGAAGAGGGUUGCACGAAAAAAAAGGAGGAAAAAAGUCUCCGUGACUCUUAGGACAGUGUACCUACUGGGAAUAUGAGAAAAUUUUUCGAGUAGCAUCUUUUAUCAUAUAUUAUAAUAUUAUACACUGGUAACACACUUCUGAUCGUACCGUAUAGAGCGUCCAGAUGAAUUUUCGAAGCAGAUGGUAAUUUUGGAAAGGUUAAAAACAAUUUUAUCUAAUGUUUGAUUUAAAUAUCUCUGUUUUUUAACCCAUGGGUAUCAGUGGCACGGUGAAAAUUGUAUUGGGAAAGCGAGUAAAACAAAGAGUCAUAAAUUAAUUGCACGCGUGCUGCACGCGUUAUUUAUGCGAACCCCUGGGGUUCGCAUGGGAGAUUAUACUUAUAGCCGUGCAGUUAUCAUAGUUUAGUGUGCGAACUCUAUUUGCUUACAGCCGUGGCCAUUUGUCACGUGGCUUUUGAGCAUCCUGACCAUCUAAUGGCCGUCCUGGGGACGAGAACUGGCGAGUGUCACAUUUAGAAAAAAACGUACCUGGACGAU